GAGGGUAGUGAGUUAUCAACUUUUUAUUAGAACUGCCACUAGAAAGUGCUUUUUGGCUGGUAGUAGUUUAGUCUCCAUCACUUGUCACUUCAAUGGCAAGCACAUGACUUGUAUUUGGCUGAGAAGGCUUUAAUUUGCCUCUUGGCUCGAUGUUGGGCUUCGGGCAAGUCCUCCUUUAAUUGGCAUCUUUGGGUUUUCCUUCAUUUAAACCCAAUGUUCAAAUAUUAACUCAAACACAUUCAAGAAUAUCCCAGUAAACUUCGCCAAAAAACUCAUCAUUCGUACUUGACUUUCUUUGUUUGUAACUCACUCAUUUCUCAACCGAUUUUAGUAAAAUUUAUAUCAAUCUAAAGCUUAUAAUGUCAACUUUUGAUCUGGAAACUUUGGCGAUUGUACACAUAACGUACCGAGAAAAAUUAUGCUUGAAAGUUACUUUGUGCAACCAUGUUUUACGAAAACUGUCAUCUAUUUUUGUUUUGGCCGUAUCUUACUCAAUUCUAAACUGUUUUCAAUGAUCUUUGGAUUUGAAGCUUAUAACCUUAACUUCAAAUAUGGAAAGUUUGUUGACUAAACACUUACUGAUGAGUAGAAUUUUAUAUUAUAUAUUUAACCCUAUUCUUAGUAUAUUUUGGUUAAUAUUUUGGAAGAAUUUUGAUACUUUGAAUUGUAUUUCUAAUAUAGGACUUUCGACGUCCUCUGGAGCAAAACGUGGUCAAAUAGACGAAUUUUGGAGAAAUUCCAGUUCGAGGACGUUGGUGAGUCACUUAGCUCGAUCGUGUCAAAAUAUCAGAUUUUUCCACCAAGCGACUAUUUUCUGGCAAUAAAAUAAAGGAGCGAUGUGCAGUGCUGGAAUAUUGACGUUUUGGGCUUGAAUUGCGUUUUUGGAGCCCAAGAUGACC
rnacentral:lncRNA from 1 species